rnacentral:rRNA from 1 species
CCCUUAGAUGUUCUGGGCCGCACGCGCGCUACACUGAAUGGAUCAACGUGUUUUCCCUUCCCGAGAGGGACGGGUAACCCGCUGAACCCCAUUCGUGGUAGGGAUCGGAGCUUGCAAUUGUUCUCCGUGAACCAGGAAUUCCCAGUAAGCGCAAGUCAUAAGCUUGCGUUGAUUACGUCCCUGCCCUUUGUACACACCGCCCGUCGCACCUACCGAUUGAAUGGUCCGGUGAAAUCUCGGGACGGCGGCUUGGUCGCUUGCGUCCGACUGCUGAAACUUGAUUAAACCAUAUCAUUUAGAGGAAGGUGAANUCGUANCA